rnacentral:rRNA from 1 species
GCUUACGGCCAUAUCAGCCUGGGUACGCCCGAUCUCGUCUGAUCUCGGAAGCUAAGCAGGGCCGGCCUGGUUAGUACUUGGAUGGGAGACCGCCUGGGAAUACCAGGUGCUGUAAGCA